CUUAUAAUUGAAAAAAUAUAACACUACAGGUUCUGAGAAGAGAAACUCAGAAACUUGAGAAGAUCAAGACACAAGCAAGAGACAAAGCAAACUCUGAACUUCAACAAACAGAGCCAUUUAUGAACGAUUUCUUCAAAAUCAAAAACCUCUAGUUUAUUCAAUCUCUUCACUAUUGUAAUCUUCAAAGCAAACUAUGAACUUCAACAAACAGAGACAUUUAUAAACGCUUCCUUCAAAAUCAGAAACCUUUAGUUUAUUCAAUCUCUUCACUAUUGUAAUCUUAAUUGUAUUCUACGUACCAACAAUGCCACCAACUAACAGCUAGCACUCGUUUCUCCACAAACACACUCCCCUAAACCAAAUCUGCAUUCCACAGAAUCACCUG
rnacentral:lncRNA from 1 species